rnacentral:rRNA from 1 species
UACGGGGGGUGCGAGCGUUGUCCGGAAUCACUGGGCGUAAAGGGCGCGUAGGUGGCGUGAUAAGGGUGUGGUGAAAGCCCGGGGCUCAACCCCGGGUCUGCCAUGCCGACUGUCAGGCUGGAGUACUGUAGGGGCAGGCGGAAUUCCGGGUGUAGCGGUGGAAUGCGUAGAGAUCCGGAGGAACACCAGUGGCGAAGGCGACACGCUGGGCCGUACCUGACACUAAAACGCGACAGCAUGGGGAGCGAACGGG